GGCAGAUCAGUUUUGCAUCAACAAUAUCUAGUUAUCACGGCUGCAUCAUAUGAUCUCGCGUUAAGCUUGAUUCGUGCUAGUUAUCGGUUUAGAUAUUAUUUGUAAGGCUGCAUUGCUUUAAUCUCUUACAAGUAAUUAAUCUAAGCUAUUUAUCAGCUCUACCAGACCAGCAACUUGGUAGAUUCAUUAAGUUAUCGAUAUUGUUUUCAUUUAACAAUUCAUUUAUUACAAUAAUAUUCUAUCCAAUCGAGAUCUGACAUAUUAGAUUAAGCUUCGGCUCGAUCAUGAUAGAUUCUAAUAAACAUUGAAGAUCAAAAUAGUCAAUCAAUCCAGCACUAACUAGCCUGUCGAUCUUGAUUGUUAUAUGUUGUGCGUUUGAGAUAUUUAUUUGAUCAUAAUUAAUCUGGAAGUAGAGUAAUACUUAGCUUAAUAUCACUUGUCAUCGGCUGUAUUUUUGAACCCCACUGUCAAGUACAUUAAGUUAAGUUUAAAUAGAUCCAAACUUGGUUUUGAUAAAGUAAAUAGGUCUUGUUCGUACUUCAUGGACCCUAUAUCGGCUAAAUAGCGGAUCGAGUUAUGCUUCAAAGAAUAGUGCGUACAUGUGGAUUCACUUAAGACAUUAAAUAAACUAUGUGCCUCACAUAAACAUCGUCUCGACUAAUUAGUAGAUCCAGUUAUCUUUGCUCAUAAUACAAUCAUAUAAUUUACUUUAAAAAGCAAUCUGAAUGAAUGAAUCAAUGAAUAAUGAAUAUUAUAAUCAUUCUAUCAUUAUUGAAGUACUAUUAGGAGUUGACUUUUUAGUCAAUUUCUUUUGAUCAAUGGCUAUUUUGAGCCAUAUAUUUUGGAACUAUCUGACAGCAACUGGUAGGUUCUAUAAUUUGACAUUUGUUUUUCUUCUUAUCAAUUACAAGUUAAAUUAACGGGCACGCUGCAGAUCUAGAUCACCAAACUCGGUUCGCGUGUCGAGGCUCAGGGUAUCAGAAACUCUAGCUUCUAAACGUUCUCUGAGAGCCUUCGAGUGUGUUACACAAAGAUCAUAUUUUUAUGCUAACAUACUCAAUCCACUCCAACACAAGGUGGAUUAAUGCGAAUACUAUAAUAUCCAAACGAGACCUUAAUGUGUAAAAACCCGUUUGACUUGAGCUCCAGCUCUACUAUCUUUCUAGACAGAGUCUAGAGAGUUGAAAGUAUUCGUAGGACGGGUUGAUUUCGUCUUAGUUUUCAAAGGCAAAAUGAUUCCAUUUGCUAUUUGGUCUAGGCACGGAAUGACUCUAUUUGGUUUUGGGACAUUAAAAUUGAGAUGAGUCAUUGACAUGUAGGGGACACCAUUUAUCAGUUUUUUUCUUUUUUUUUUCUUUUCCCUUUUCUUUUCCCCCUCUCCCUUGUCUUUUCUUCUUUGUUCUCGUUUUGGGGUAAUUCUUCUUUUUUCUUGUUCGGUCGCGGAGCUGCAUCUCCAUCACUCACGGCCCUGCGCUCCCAACGCUGUGGCCGUGCACCCGAGCCUCGCCCCCACACUCGCUACAGGUGGUCGUCGAGCUCCGACUGACUACACGCCUCAGCCUUGUUCCGAGCUUACCCGCAUGACUGUCAGCUGUCAUCAUGACCAAGUCCAAGUGGAAGAAGUCACACCCAAGGCCUAGCCCAGGGAGCAGGGGUCCAAGAAGCCAAACCCAAAGGUCUUUGGCGAGCAGUGGCCUAAAUAUAUCACUUGCAUGGGUAAAGAGGCAGUGCCUCUACAAUGGCUAAUGAGUAUAAUAUUUAGGAGAGAAGGACAGAUGAGACAUGUUUUGUAGCAGGAAACUAUUCUAAAACCUAAGAACUCAUUCUUCUGACUACUGUUCUUCUUCCCUGUCGUCUCCCUUCCUUCUCCUCCACUCUUCCAAUCCCCUCCCCACUGCUAUCUCUCACAAGUGGUAUUAGAGACACCGAUUCUCGGCAUCGAUCGAUCGCUGCCGCACUGUCCCCCAUUGGUCACUUGCAUCCCACUGGAAUUGGUAGGUCUCACCCAAUUUUGAUCUGUGAGAUGCAGAUCGAGAUUGGGAUUCCGUAAUUCUAUUCUAGGUGAUUUGUGGUGUGCACGCCCAAUCUGGAUCCUGCCUCCCAUGAACACUUCACCUGCCUUCAACGCAGCUGUGGUGUCAUGGAUCCCGAUCACAAGGCAUUGUUGUCCGAGCUCGACAAGCACUUCACCGCCUAGGAGAAGCGUUUUGAUAGGUUCGAACUCAAACUCGACUCCACUACAGCCAAGCUUGACACCAAGCCUCCCUCAACUCCAAUGC
rnacentral:lncRNA from 1 species